rnacentral:rRNA from 1 species
AUUAUGUAUAGCCUCUGGCUAUAGGAAAUUGUUAGUGGCAGACGGGUGAGUAAUGCGUAGGAAUCUACCUAGUAGUACGGAAUAGCCAUUAGAAAUGGUGGGUAAUACUGUAUAAUCCCCGAGGGGGAAAGAUUUAUCGCUAUUAGAUGAGCCUACGUUAGAUUAGCUAGUUGGUGAGGUAAUGGCUUACCAAGGCUAUGAUCUAUAGCUGGUCUGAGAGGACGAUCAGCCACACUGGAACUGAGAUACGGUCCAGACUCCUACGGGAGGCAGCAGUGGGGAAUAUUGGACAAUGGGCGAAAGCCUGAUCCAGCUAUGCCGCGUGAGUGAAGAAGGCCUUCGGGUUGUAAAACUCUUUCAAUAGGGAAGAUAAUGACGGUACCUAUAGAAGAAGUCCCGGCAAACUCUGUG